rnacentral:lncRNA from 1 species
AAGGUAAGCUGUAGAAGUAAAAUAAGGAGUUCCAUUUUGAAUAUGUUGAUUUUGAGGUACCCGUAGAGUAAACGCAUGUGGAACUGUUAACUUAUUUUGGAUUUUGUGUCUGAAAUAAAAAGAUAUUUAAGGCCUAAAAAUAUAGAUUUUGAAGUCAGUCAAAUGAAGAUGGUAGGUGAGAUACCCCCAAAGAAUGCAUAAAUUCUAAGAUAAAUUCCCAAUGUUAGGACACUGAGAAAUACCUUCUAUCAAGGGGAUACCAAUGAAGGAGAAAUAAUGAAAAAAGGUCAUACAGCUAGAAAAAGAUGCAGACUACAUUGUCAUGAAAGAGAAGGAUGUUUACAGUGUAACUUCGCAGUUAAUGGUGAGUCCUACUGAGCCUGGACCUGAAGUGUCUCGGUGUGUUUUUGCAUCCCCCUUAAUUAUGUCAUUGCCAUACGAUGAGAGACACAUGAAACCCAGCGCAACUCAGCCUACAUCGCUGACCUCCAACUAACUCACAGGUGUGUCAGAAAGACUGGUUAAAUUAGCAGAGCUGCCCAGCCCAGGAGAGCACAGACGAGUCUAUUAGCAAGAGAUCUGCAGUCACAUGAGCCAUAAUAAUGUCAUUUAGUGUUAAG